CAGCCGUAAACAAUGUGCGUUAGGUGUGUCGGUAACCACGCGUUACUGAUGCGCCGAAGAGAAAUCGUGAAACGCACCACCUGGGAAGUACGGUCGCAAGGCUGAAACUUAAAGGAAUUGGCGGGGGGAGCACCACAACAGGUGGAGCCUGCGGUUUAAUUGGAUUCAACGCCGGACAUCUCACCGGAUAAGACAGCUGAAUGAUUGUCAAUCUGAAGGUUUUACAUGACUAGCUGAGAGGAGGUGCAUGGCGUCAG
rnacentral:rRNA from 1 species